rnacentral:misc_RNA from 1 species
UAGUGGAUUCAUUGCAAUGUAUGCCACUUUAGCAAGCAGAGAUGUUGACUGCUGUUUAAUUCCAGAGUCACCCUUCUUUCUUGAUGGAAGUGGUGGUCUAUUCGAAUUUGUUAAGAAAAGGCUUAGAGAGGAAGGACACAUGGUUAUUGUGAUAGCCGAAGGGGCUGGGCAGGAACUUCUUGCAGCAGAGAAUUCCAAUGCUGGAAGUCAACAAGAUGCUUCAGGAAACAAGCUUCUCCAAGAUGUUGGUUUGUGGGUAUCCCAUAAAAUCAGGGAUCAUUUUGGAAAAAAGCUUAAGAUGCCCAUUACUCUUAAAUA